rnacentral:snoRNA from 1 species
CCCAGCUGUAGGCAACUGCCUAGAUUGCUUUGUACCUAGAAAAGUGUUCCACUGCUGGGAAAAAAGCAACCAAUAGCUGGUGAGCAUU